AGUCGAGCGAACAGACGAGGAGCUUGCUUCUCUGACGUUAGCGGCGGACGGGUGAGUAACACGUGGAUAACCUACCUAUAAGACUGGGAUAACUUCGGGAAACCGGAGCUAAUACCGGAUAAUAUAUUGAACCGCAUGGUUCAAUAGUGAAAGACGGUUUUGCUGUCACUUAUAGAUGGAUCCGCGCCGCAUUAGCUAGUUGGUAAGGUAACGGCUUACCAAGGCAACGAUGCGUAGCCGACCUGAGAGGGUGAUCGGCCACACUGGAACUGAGACACGGUCCAGACUCCUACGGGAGGCAGCAGUAGGGAAUCUUUCGCAAUGGGCGAAAGCCUGACGGAGCAACGCCGCGUGAGUGAUGAAGGUCUUCGGAUCGUAAAACUCUGUUAUUAGGGAAGAACAAAUGUGUAAGUAACUAUGCACGUCUUGACGGUACCUAAUCAGAAAGCCACGGCUAACUACGUGCCAGCAGCCGCGGUAAUACGUAGGUGGCAAGCGUUAUCCGGAAUUAUUGGGCGUAAAGCGCGCGUAGGCGGUUUUUUAAGUCUGAUGUGAAAGCCCACGGCUCAACCGUGGAGGGUCAUUGGAAACUGGAAAACUUGAGUGCAGAAGAGGAAAGUGGAAUUCCAUGUGUAGCGGUGAAAUGCGCAGAGAUAUGGAGGAACACCAGUGGCGAAGGCGACUUUCUGGUCUGUA
rnacentral:rRNA from 1 species